rnacentral:rRNA from 1 species
AUGCCAAUGUCAUGGAUACCUCCUUAUGCUCAUGUAAAUCCAUAUCCAUCAUGGGACAUGUAUAAUAUAAGGGCACAUUCUCCAUCUUAUUUUAGACCAUCUCACCAAUACUAUGCAGUUUCAAGAAGAUCAACAUUUGAAAAAUCACACGUCAAAGACCGUUUCAAUCAUAAGGAAUCAGUCCAGAGCUCAUGGAAGAAGAAAGAGGUGGUCAAGCAAGUUUACCGCGUGAAAAGAGAUGGUCAUAAGUGUGCUACUUCAGAUUUGAUCUCAAAUAACAAAGAGCCAAUUAAAGUGUUGACAUUGGCUACAAAAGGCAAUGAGGCAAGUCAAUCAAGUGUCAAAUUUGAAGAAAAGAAGUUGAGAGUGCGCAAGGUAAAAAAAUAA